GGUUAAGUUAGAAAGGGCGCACGGUGGAUGCCUUGACACUAGGAGUCGAUGAAGGACGGGACUAACGCCGAUAUGCUUCGGGGAGCUGUAAGUAAGCUUUGAUCCGAAGAUUUCCGAAUGGGGAAACCCACCAUACGUAAUGGUAUGGUAUCCUUAUCUGAAUACAUAGGGUAAGGAAGACAGACCCAGGGAACUGAAACAUCUAAGUACCUGGAGGAAGAGAAAGCAAAUGCGAUUUCCUGAGUAGCGGCGAGCGAAACGGAACAUAGCCCAAACCAAGAGGCUUGCCUCUUGGGGUUGUAGGACAUUCUAUACGGAGUUACAAAGGAACGAGGUAGACGAAGCGACCUGGAAAGGUCCGUCGUAGAGGGUAACAACCCCGUAGUCGAAACUUCGUUCUCUCUUGAAUGUAUCCUGAGUACGGCGGAACACGUGAAAUUCCGUCGGAAUCUGGGAGGACCAUCUCCCAAGGCUAAAUACUCCCUAGUGAUCGAUAGUGAACCAGUACCGUGAGGGAAAGGUGAAAAGCACCCCGGAAGGGGAGUGAAAGAGAUCCUGAAACCGUGUGCCUACAAAUAGUCAGAGCCCGUUAACGGGUGAUGGCGUGCCUUUUGUAGAAUGAACCGGCGAGUUACGAUCCCGUGCGAGGUUAAGCUGAAGAGGCGGAGCCGCAGCGAAAGCGAGUCUGAAUAGGGCGUUUAGUACGUGGUCGUAGACCCGAAACCAGGUGAUCUACCCAUGUCCAGGGUGAAGUUCAGGUAACACUGAAUGGAGGCCCGAACCCACGCACGUUGAAAAGUGCGGGGAUGAGGUGUGGGUAGCGGAGAAAUUCCAAUCGAACCUGGAGAUAGCUGGUUCUCCCCGAAAUAGCUUUAGGGCUAGCCUUAAGUGUAAGAGUCUUGGAGGUAGAGCACUGAUUGGACUAGGGGUCCUCAUCGGAUUACCGAAUUCAGUCAAACUCCGAAUGCCAAUGACUUAUCCUUAGGAGUCAGACUGCGAGUGAUAAGAUCCGUAGUCAAAAGGGAAACAGCCCAGACCGCCAGCUAAGGUCCCAAAGUGUGUAUUAAGUGGAAAAGGAUGUGGAGUUGCUUAGACAACUAGGAUGUUGGCUUAGAAGCAGCCACCAUUUAAAGAGUGCGUAAUAGCUCACUAGUCGAGUGACUCUGCGCCGAAAAUGUACCGGGGCUAAAUACACCACCGAAGCUGCGGAUUGAUACCAAUGGUAUCAGUGGUAGGGGAGCGUUCUAAGGACAGUGAAGUCAGACCGGAAGGACUGGUGGAGUGCUUAGAAGUGAGAAUGCCGGUAUGAGUAGCGAAAGACGGGUGAGAAUCCCGUCCACCGAAUGCCUAAGGUUUCCUGAGGAAGGCUCGUCCGCUCAGGGUUAGUCAGGACCUAAGCCGAGGCCGACAGGCGUAGGCGAUGGACAACAGGUUGAUAUUCCUGUACCACCUCUUUAUCGUUUGAGCAAUGGAGGGACGCAGAAGGAUAGAAGAAGCGUGCGAUUGGUUGUGCACGUCCAAGCAGUUAGGCUGAUAAGUAGGCAAAUCCGCUUAUCGUGAAGGCUGAGCUGUGAUGGGGAAGCUCCUUAUGGAGCGAAGUCUUUGAUUCCCCGCUGCCAAGAAAAGCUUCUAGCGAGAUAAAAGGUGCCUGUACCGCAAACCGACACAGGUAGGCGAGGAGAGAAUCCUAAGGUGUGCGAGAGAACUCUGGUUAAGGAACUCGGCAAAAUGACCCCGUAACUUCGGGAGAAGGGGUGCUUUCUUAACGGAAAGCCGCAGUGAAUAGGCCCAAGCGACUGUUUAGCAAAAACACAGCUCUCUGCGAAGCCGUAAGGCGAAGUAUAGGGGGUGACACCUGCCCGGUGCUGGAAGGUUAAGGAGAGGGUUAGCGUAAGCGAAGCUCUGAACUGAAGCCCCAGUAAACGGCGGCCGUAACUAUAACGGUCCUAAGGUAGCGAAAUUCCUUGUCGGGUAAGUUCCGACCCGCACGAAAGGUGUAACGAUUUGGGCACUGUCUCAACCAGAGACUCGGUGAAAUUAUAGUACCUGUGAAGAUGCAGGUUACCCGCGACAGGACGGAAAGACCCCGUGGAGCUUUACUGUAGCCUGAUAUUGAAUUUUGGUACAGUUUGUACAGGAUAGGCGGGAGCCAUUGAAACCGGAGCGCUAGCUUCGGUGGAGGCGCUGGUGGGAUACCGCCCUGACUGUAUUGAAAUUCUAACCUACGGGUCUUAUCGACCCGGGAGACAGUGUCAGGUGGGCAGUUUGACUGGGGCGGUCGCCUCCUAAAGUGUAACGGAGGGCCCAAAGGUUCCCUCAGAAUGGUUGGAAAUCAUUCGUAGAGUGCAAAGGCAUAAGGGAGCUUGACUGCGAGACCUACAAGUCGAGCAGGGACGAAAGUCGGGCUUAGUGAUCCGGUGGUUCCGCAUGGAAGGGCCAUCGCUCAACGGAUAAAAGCUACCCCGGGGAUAACAGGCUUAUCUCCCCCAAGAGUCCACAUCGACGGGGAGGUUUGGCACCUCGAUGUCGGCUCAUCGCAUCCUGGGGCUGUAGUCGGUCCCAAGGGUUGGGCUGUUCGCCCAUUAAAGCGGUACGCGAGCUGGGUUCAGAACGUCGUGAGACAGUUCGGUCCCUAUCCGUCGUGGGCGUAGGAAAUUUGAGAGGAGCUGUCCUUAGUACGAGAGGACCGGGAUGGACGCACCGCUGGUGUACCAGUUGUUCUGCCAAGGGCAUAGCUGGGUAGCUAUGUGCGGAAGGGAUAAGUGCUGAAAGCAUCUAAGCAUGAAGCCCCCCUCAAGAUGAGAUUUCCCAUAGCGUAAGCUAGUAAGAUCCCUGAAAGAUGAUCAGGUUGAUAGGUUCGAGGUGGAAGCAUGGUGACAUGUGGAGCUGACGAAUACUAAUAGAUCGAGGACUUAACCAU
rnacentral:rRNA from 1 species